CGAGGUAGGUAGGUACAUAUGUG
rnacentral:piRNA from 1 species